GCUGACGAGUGGCGGACGGGUGAGUAAUGUCUGGGAAACUGCCUGAUGGAGGGGGAUAACUACUGGAAACGGUAGCUAAUACCGCAUAACGUCGAAAGACCAAAGAGGGGGACCUUCGGGCCUCUUGCCAUCGGAUGUGCCCAGAUGGGAUUAGCUUGUUGGUGGGGUAAUGGCUCACCAAGGCGACGAUCCCUAGCUGGUCUGAGAGGAUGACCAGCCACACUGGAACUGAGACACGGUCCAGACUCCUACGGGAGGCAGCAGUGGGGAAUAUUGCACAAUGGGCGCAAGCCUGAUG
rnacentral:rRNA from 1 species